UACAGAGGGUGCAAGCGUUGUUCGGAAUUAUUGGGCGUAAAGCGCGUGUAGGCGGCUUUGCAAGUCGGGUGUGAAAGCCCUCAGCUCAACUGAGGAAGUGCGCCCGAAACUGCAUGGCUUGAGUACCGGAGAGGAUGGCGGAAUUCCCCAAGUAGAGGUGAAAUUCGUAGAUAUGGGGAGGAACACCGGUGGCGAAGGCGGCCAUCUGGACGGAUACUGACGCUGAGACGCGAAAGCGUGGGUAGCAAACAGG
rnacentral:rRNA from 1 species